AUGCAACGUAUCAUUUAGGAGCGGAUUUGUUAAGCUCGGGUUCGGUAGUUGGGGAAUCGUUAUUGAAAGAUCUUUGGCAACAUCAAGACGCCAUUUUGUGUUGUUCUCUAAAGCCGUAAAGCAAUCACCAGUCAGAGUUGUCUGUCAGAGAGCUUGCUUUUUGCAUGCAGCCGUAAAUCAAUAAUAACUAUUCAGAGUUGUCUGACAUGGAGCAUGCUUGGAAGUCUAUAAAUUCAACAUCAAGCUCAACACUCUACAAGCACU
rnacentral:lncRNA from 1 species